CCUACGGGAGUCUGCAGUGAGGAAUAUUGGUCAAUGGACGAGAGUCUGAACCAGCCAAGUCGCGUGAAGGAUGACUGCCCUAUGGGUUGUAAACUUCUUUUAUAAAGGAAUAAAACGAGGCACGUGUGCCUUUUUGCAUGUACUUUAUGAAUAAGGAUCGGCUAACUCCGUGCCAGCAGCCGCGGUAAUACGGAGGAUCCGAGCGUUAUCCGGAUUUAUUGGGUUUAAAGGGUGCGUAGAUGGGUUGUUAAGUCGGUUGUGAAAGUUUGCGGCUCAACCCUAAAAUUGCACUUGAUACUGGCGGUCAUGAGUACAGUUGAGGAAGGCGGAAGUCGGGGGGUAGCGGGGAA
rnacentral:rRNA from 1 species